rnacentral:rRNA from 1 species
GUCUAUGGCCAUGCUACCUUGAAAACUCCCGAUCCUGUCUGAUCUCAGAAGCUAAGCAGGGUCGGGCCUGGUUACUACUCGGCUGGGAGACCACCUAGGAAGACCAGGUGCUAUAGGCA